UCCUUCUCCCCCUCUAUCUCUUUCGGUUUCUUUUCUUUUCUAGGUUUCCCUCAUUCAAACGUCUCUCUCACACGUAACUCACAUUCACUUCCCGAUUUCAUCUUUUCCUUUCGUUUGGUCUGUUUUCGUGAGUCCGAAUUCCAUGCCCUAACUUUUCUCCAUUUUCUUUUCCCUAACUUUCGGGUUUUCUCUCAAAGUCGACGUCUCUCUCUCGCGUUCCUCCAUCACUGCAGUUUAGCGUUUCUCUCUUCAAACUCGUCUCUCCUCUCCCUCUUGCGCAGUGUCGUCAUCUUCAGGUGGUGUUGCUGCGUUUUCUCCCUACUGGUGGUUUGGCUUUUAGACGCUCACCCACUCUCGCUUCUCUUUUGUUCUCUCCCGUCUGCGAAGUGGUUAACCUCCUUGCCAUAGUGUUGACGCCGAGCUCUGUCAAACAGGUGACGAGAUUUUAGAAGUCGAAUUCAAGGCAUAGAUAAUACGCUGCAGGA